rnacentral:piRNA from 1 species
UGCACUUAGUCGCUUGCCUGAUGGACAGU